rnacentral:rRNA from 1 species
UGGAUGAGCCCGCGGCCUAUCAGCUUGUUGGUGGGGUAACGGCCCACCAAGGCUUCGACGGGUAGCCGGCCUGAGAGGGUGACCGGCCACACUGGGACUGAGACACGGCCCAGACUCCUACGGGAGGCAGCAGUGGGGAAUAUUGGACAAUGGGCGAAAGCCUGAUCCAGCAACGCCGCGUGUGGGAUGACGGCCUUCGGGUUGUAAACCACUGUCGGGAGGAACGAAUACCGGACGUCGAAUAGGCGAUCCGGGGUGACGGUACCUCCAAAGGAAGCACCGGCUAACUACGUGCCAGCAGCCGCGGCCG